rnacentral:rRNA from 1 species
AACGAACGCUGGCGGCAUGCCUAACACAUGCAAGUCGAACGAGACCUUCGGGUCUAGUGGCGCACGGGUGCGUAACGCGUGGGAACCUGCCCUUAGGUUCGGAAUAACUCCCCGAAAGGGGUGCUAAUACCGGAUAAUGUCUUCGGACCAAAGAUUUAUCGCCUUUGGAUGGGCCCGCGUUGGAUUAGCUAGUUGGUAGGGUAAAAGCCUACCAAGGCGAGGAUCCAUAGCUGGUCUGAGAGGAUGAUCAGCCACACUGGGACUGAGACACGGCCCAGAAUCCUACGGGAGGCAGCAGUGGGGAAUAGUGGACAAUGGGCGAAAGCCUGAUCCAGCAAGGCCGCGUGAGUGAUGAAGGCCUUAGGGUUGUAAAGCUCUUGUACCCGGGAUGAUAAUGACAGUACCGGGAGAAUAAGCUCCGGCUAACUCCGUG